rnacentral:rRNA from 1 species
GGGGAAUAUUGCACAAUGGGGGAAACCCUGAUGCAGCGACGCCGCGUGGAGGAAGAAGGUCUUCGGAUUGUAAACUCCUGUUGUUGAGGAAGAUAAUGACGGUACUCAACAAGGAAGUGACGGCUAACUACGUGCCAGCAGCCGCGGUAAAACGUAGGUCACAAGCGUUGUCCGGAAUUACUGGGUGUAAAGGGAGCGCAGGCGGGCGAUCAAGUUGGAAGUGAAAUCCAUGGGCUCAACCCAUGAACUGCUUUCAAAACUGAUUGUCUUGAGUAGUGCAGAGGUAGGCGGAAUUCCCGGUGUAGCGGUGGAAUGCGUAGAUAUCGGGAGGAACACCAGUGGCGAAGGCGGCCUACUGGGCACCAACUGACGCUGAGGCUCGAAAGUGUGGGUAGCAAACAGGAUUAGAUACCCUGGUAGUCCACACCGUAAACGAUGAUUACUAGGUGUUGGAGGAUUGACCCCUUCAGUGCCGCAGUUAACACAAUAAGUAAUCCACCUGGGGAGUACGACCGCAAGGUUGAAACUCAAAGGAAUUGACGGGGGCCCGCACAAGCAGUGGAGUAUGUGGUUUAAUUCGACGCAACGCGAAGAACCUUACCAAGUCUUGACAUCCUGCGACGAUGCUAGAAAUAGUAUUUUCCUUCGGGACGCAGAGACAGGUGGUGCAUGGUUGUCGUCAGCUCGUGUCGUGAGAUGUUGGGUUAAGUCCCGCAACGAGCGCAACCCUUAUGGUCAGUUACUACGCAAGAGGACUCUGGCCAGACUGCCGUUGACAAAACGGAGGAAGGUGGGGAUGACGUCAAAUCAUCAUGCCCUUUAUGACUUGGGCUACACACGUACUACAAUGGCGUUAAACAAAGAGAAGCAAGACCGCGAGGUGAAGCAAAUCUCUAAAAAACGUCCCAGUUCAGAUUGCAGGCUGCAACUCGCCUGCAUGAAGACGGAAUUGCUAGUAAUCGCAGAUCAGCAUGCUGCGGUGAAUACGUUCCCG